CCUGCUGUGUCAAGUACUUUAGUACAUCUGCAGCUCAAUCAUGUGGAACUAAUACUUUCAACAAAGAAACACAUCUAUGCUGUCAGUUAACUGUUAUUGCCAAACCUUCACCAAAGCACAGAUAUUGUGAAAAGGGACCACAUGAUGAGUAAAAGAAGCUGUGUUGUGGUCCGAUGAAUGAUAAGAAGAUCCUGAAGAGGAACUCCACAGAUCAUGUGUGCUGUCAUCAUGGCCAGCAGCUAGGCUGACUGCUGCUGUUGGAAGAAUGAUGGUGCUGAGAUACAGCUGAAGAAUUCAUCUUGCUGUGUAGAAGAAUCAGCUGUACUUGAAGAGUGGGAAAACAAUUCUUAUCAGUAAAUUGCAAAGGAUGGGAAAAUAUGCAGGCUCUCACUGGUCGAUAUCACACAGGAUAUGGUGUUUUGGCAAAGGAAUUUUUGCAGCUUCACCCUAGCUGAUGUGGGUGAGUCAUGUUUUCUAGACAUAAUUCAUCCUCAUAUGUUUAAACUAAUAAAUGUCUUGUUGUAACUCCUCUUUCUGCUCUCCCAACCCUCACACCUCUACUUAUAGGUCAAAGCAAGUCAAAACCCAUAGUGCAUAACCCACAUACAUAUGUGUGCUGUGAUGGAUGUCUAAGUGGAAACCUUUGAUCAAUCAAGUAAUGUACUCAGUACUUUCUUUGUUUGUUUUUCCAGGCAUGACAAUCCAAGGGAGGAAGAGGAUAUAAGAGGAACAGAGACACCGGAGGGCCGUGCAGGCAGGAAUAGGAAAGGAAUCCGUGGGAGAGAACAACCGUUCCGCUUUUCCCUGGCUGCUCCACCACCGGCUGCUCUUCAUCUCCACACGUCCUGGCUCCUGGCGUCCUGGUUGUUCUCUCCCACGGAUUCCUUUCCUAUUCCUGCCUGUACGGCCCUCCGGUGUCUCCGUUCCUCCCCUUAAGGCCUUCUCCAAAGGCCUUAAGGGGGAUAUCGUCUUCUUCCCUUGGCGAAAGUACUUUCACCGCGGCUCCUGCAUGUGGAUAACUCCGACCAUCCUCUUACCAAAGACCUUUUAUCCUGCCUUGAUAGCUUUAAUUUUAAACAACACAUAAACUUCCCUACUCACACCAAGGGCCAUACUUGGACCUAGUCUGCUGCUCCAGAGUUAAUCUUUCAAACUGCACAGCCGACGAGCUACCAACCUCUGAUCAUCUGCUUCUCUCCUUUAAUGUCCUAAUGACUUCCUCCAUAAUCAAGAACCCCCGCACCAUGUCUUUCAGGAAUAUCAAGAGAAUAAAUCUUGAUACCCUUUCUUCUGCUCUUUCUAGUUGUCUAUCUCUCAACAACCUGUCUACUCUAGAUGAUCUGGUCUCUUAUUAUAAUCAUAGCCUCAGUAGUAUUUUGAACUCUCUCGCUCCACUAAAUACUAGACCUGUAUCCUUUUCUCACUCAGCACCUUGGUACACACCUGAACUCCGACUUUGGAAAGCUAAAGGCCGACGACUUGAGCGUCUCCAUAAGAAAACCGGCCUUACUAUUCAUAAGAAAAUGUUUAACAAUCAUGUUCUGUUUUAUAAAGAUUGUAUUAACCAAACUAAAUCUGCCUAUUACUCUACCAUUGUUUGUUCAAGCGAGGAUUCUACUAAGACACUGUUUUCACUAUUCAACUAUUUUCUCAGGCCGUCUGACUUUCUACCUGCACAUCUCUACUCGUCUAACUUCUGUGACUCUCUAAUGCUAUUCUUCACUGAAAAAAUUCAUAAAAUACACCAAGACCUGGCUCCUGUGUUCCAUGUAGCUCCUCCUUCUCAACCCCACCCCCAUUACAUUGCCUUUCUGCCUUCCAACUUCCCUCUGUCACUGAUAUCUCUCAUCUCAUCCACAAAUCAAAGCCUUCUACCUGUCACCUUGACCCCCUUCCUACAGUCUUAGUCAAGGCCUGUCUAUCCUCUCUUCUUCCCCUCAUAUCUGCCAUUAUCCAUUCUUCACUCACCUCUGGAACUGUUCCUGCCUCUUUCAACGUUGCCGCUCACCCCAAUUCUGAAUAAAACAAACAAACAUACAGGUCUACAGCCCAACAACCUUAAUAAUGUUUGUCCCAUCUCCAAUCUACCAUUUCUCUCAAAAAUUCUUGAAAAAAUAGUUGCUUCACAAGUUUAUCUACGCCUUACCAAUAAUAACCUUUACGAACAGUUCCAGUCUGGUUUCCAUCUUUCUCAUAGCACCAAAACUGCUCUUAUAAAAAUAACGAAUGACCUUCUUAUGGCAGCUAGUCUCCUCUCCAUCCUUAUUAUCCUCGAUCUGAGUGCACCAUUUGACACCAUCUCUCACACCAUCCUUCUCAGCAGAUUAGCUUCUAUCGGCCUUUCUCAUACCCCACUAGCCUGGUUCAAAUCAUACCUGUCUGACCGCACUCAGUUCAUUCGAUUACAAUCCUUCACCUCUCAGCCUUUUCCUCUGUCUACUGGGGUGCCCCAGGGAUCUGUCCUUGGGCCUUCCUUUUCAUUAUUUACCUCCUUCCACUUGGACACAUUUUCCGUAAAUAUAAUAUUCAGUUUCACUGUUAUGCCGACAACACCCAGCUUUACCUGUCCACCAAACCCGACUCUACUCUUCCUCCACCCUCCCUCACCCUCUGCUUAGCCGAACUUAAUUCAUGGUUUUCCUCCAACUGUCUUAAACCCAACAGCAACAAAUCAGAACAUCUCCUGGUUGGCUCCAAAUCAUCGCUAUCCAGGAAUAACACUUUUGCUGUUACUAUCAAUAACUUGUCAGUUACUACCAGAGGUGUGGACUCGAGUCACAUGACCUGGACUCGAGUCAGACU